rnacentral:pre_miRNA from 11 species
AACCGCAUGCGAAGAUGUAUUAUCGCAUGCGGCUGCUUAAGACAGCCGCAUGCGAUAAUCUAUUUUCGCAUGCGGCU